AAAAAGGCAAACCCUGGGUUUCCGUGUCCAACUUUGACUGUCCGUCUUAUAUGAAAUUUUUUUAUAAUUCGUAUUUCAUUAUUGUUAGAUGAUAAAACAUGAUUAACAUUUUAUGCAUGACUUAUCUUUUUAAUUUUUUUUAUAUUUUUUUCAAAAAUAAGACGGACGGUCAAAUAUUGUGCACGGAAACCAGGGUUUCUCUUUUU
rfam:Oryza barthii chromosome 4, whole genome shotgun sequence.